UGAGCUGUGGCACAGUGGGUUAAUGCCCUGGCCUGAAGUGCCAGCAUCCCAUAUGGGUGCUGGUUCGAGUCCUGGCUGCUCCU
rfam:Oryctolagus cuniculus chromosome 13, whole genome shotgun sequence.